CCUACGGGAGGCUGCAGUAGGGAAUAUUGCUCAAUGGGGGAAACCCUGAAGCAGCAACGCCGCGUGGAGGAUGAAGGUUUUCGGAUUGUAAACUCCUUUUGUUAGAGAAGAUAAUGACGGUAUCUAACGAAUAAGCACCGGCUAACUCCGUGCCAGCAGCCGCGGUAAUACGGGGGGUGCAAGCGUUACUCGGAAUCACUGGGCGUAAAGAGGGCGUAGGCGGGAUAGUAAGUCAGAUGUGAAAUCCUAGGGCUCAACCAUAGAACUGCAUUUGAAACUGUUAGUCUAGAGUAUGGGAGAGGUAGGUGGAAUGCUAGGUGUAGCGGUGAAAUGCGUAGAGAUCACGAGGAAUACUCAUUGCGAAGGCGACCUGCUAGAACAUAACUGACGCUGAUGCGCGAAAGCGUGGGGAGCAAACAGGAUUAGAUACCCGGGUAGUC
rnacentral:rRNA from 1 species